GCUGGGCACGGUGGUGGGUGCCUGUAAUCCCAGCUACUCGGGAGGCUGAGGCAGGAGAAUUGCUUGAACCCAGGAGGCGGAGGUUGCAGUGAGCCGAGAUUGUGCCACUGCACUCCAGCCUGGGUGACAGAGCUAGACUCCGUCUCAA
ensembl:misc_RNA Metazoa_SRP Metazoan signal recognition particle RNA